UCUGCCUAUAGAGGCCUGGGGUCCCUUUGGCAGCACUUUUCUCAAGAAAGUAGAGUCGUGGACAACCAACUGCACAGGUUGGGAGGCUUUGAAGAACAAGCUGCCAUGAAUCCUGCAGCUACAAGGAAAUGAACUCUAUUAACUUGAGUGAGCUUAAAACUAGAUCCUUCCCCAGUCAAGCCUCCAGGUGAGAAUUCAAUCCUGGCUGGCACCUGGAUUGCAGCUUACAGAAGACCCAGCUAAGGCCAUGUCUGGACUUUAAAUCCACAGGAACUGCAAGAUGGUAUCAGAAGUGGGACCUGCAGUGGGGCAUCUAGCAACCCCCAGGAGCAUUGAGUGACCAGGCUUGGGACCCACCGGGCGCAGGGUGUCCAUUGUUCUCUCGAAGCAACUGAGAAUUGUGGAUAUUCUUCAUUAUUCCAUCAUCAUCUCAAACCUCUUGGGUAUAGUGUUUGACUACUACUGUGACCAUAAAUUCCAAUAAAACCUAGGAAAAAUGAAACCACUACAUUAACUGAAAGGAUGAAAGAAGCUUUCGUAUUUAUGUGCUGCAUGUAUUAUUCAGAAGGAAGAUGAUUCCAAGUCAUGUUAUUUCCAAGGAAGCAACAAUAACUUCACUGGACCCCUGCUGAUCUUAAAGUGCAGCAUGAAAAACAGUCUUGGAGACUUCUAGAGAUGUCCAAAGUAUGCCUACGGGGAGCAAUAGGGAUACCAGGAGAAUCUGAUGAACUAUGCCUGACAAAGGAGAGGCUCUGCUGAAUAUGGAAGGGUGUAAACAGUAGAACGAACCUGGACCAUUGAACCCCUGAAUUAUCCAACCAUCUUACUUCUGGACUUCUUAUUUUGUGACUAAAAAUUCCUUUUGAAAUGAGAGUUAUUUGUGAUUGAGAUCUGGUUUACUUAAGAGCCAAAAAACAGAUGUAUUUGCAUUUUGCCAUCAUUGGAAAUAUGCCCUUACCCAGAAUUCAUUCCAAAGUAAAGUCAGAGCAUAAGGAAAAUAGAAGUUCUCGGUGAUGCUGGCAGAGUGAAUAGAUUACAUCCAUGUUAUUAUGAGAGUCUGAAUCUGAACAUUGAAUCUGACCCUUCUGAGAGGACACUACACCACUAGAGGGAAUCAAACAGAAGAUACAAAAUUUCUGCUCUCAGUUCUAGAGCAGCCCGUGCCAGAAAACUAAAGCUGCCAGUGCCUUGUCCUCGGAUGCCCAGCCUCCAGAACAUCAUUGCUGCUUCCGGUGAGCUUCAACUGUGGUGAAGAAAGAAACCCACAUACCUAACAACAACAUAAGAGAGAAAGAAAAAAAUACAUUUAGCAAAGGUACAAGCAACAUGUUACAUGAUCACUGAGGAAGAAGCAGAUGUGUUAAAGUGUAAAAAGGAAGCUGUGAAAGAGAUAUCAAAAAUAGGAGGAAGAGAGAGAGAGAAAAUGAAAGAAGAUGUGUAAUCCUGGGCUCUAGCUACAUGGCCUCUGAUGUGGUGAACUGCAGACAGAGCAGUGUGGCAGCUGAAUGACAAACGCAGCAAACUGGAACAACAUGAACCCUCCGUAACUUUAACAUCAUAGCUGAUUAAGUUUUCUGGCAUGUAAAAUGCAUCCACUGUGAGAAAUUCUGUAUCUCAGACAUGACUCACUGUUUAGCAUGUUUAUACCAUUAGGAAAUACUAAAGAUGUUUCCUCAAGCGUAUGAUUGUAUUAUAAGAGCACAUGUAAAAGCACUUAUUUUGAUAGUAAAGAGUGGCUACCA
rnacentral:lncRNA from 1 species